ensembl:lncRNA
CUCAGUAGUGUGUGUGAGUGUGUCUCAGUAGUGUGUGUGAGUGUGUCUCAGUAGUGUGUGUGAGUGUGUCUCAGUAGUGUGUGUGUGAGUGUGUCUCAGUAGUGUGUGUGAGUGUGUCUCAGUAGUGUGUGUGAGAGUGUCUCAUGUCUCAGUAGUGUGUGUGAGUGUGUCUCAGUAGUGUGUGUGAGUGUGUCUCAGUAGUGUGUGUGAGUGUGUCUCAGUAGUGUGUGUGAGUGUGUCUCAGUAGUGUGUGUGAGUGUGUCUCAGUAGUGUGUGUGAGUGUGUCUCAGUAGUGUGUGUGAGUGUGUCUCAGUAGUGUGUGUGAGAGUGUCUCAUGUCUCAGUAGUGUGUGUGAGAGUGUCUCAGUAGUGUGUGUGAGAGUGUCUCAGUAGUGUGUGUGAGAGUGUCUCAUGUCUCAGUAGUGUGUGUGAGAGUGUCUCAGUAGUUAAGUCCUAAACGGACCCUCAUA